GCGAGGUUAAGCCUCUUUGAGGCGGAGCCGGAGCGAAAGCGAGUCCUAAUUGGGCGUUUAGUCGCGCGCAUUCGACCCGAAACCCGUGUGAGCUACCCAUGGCCAGGUUGAACUUGGGGUAACACCCAAGGGAGGACCGAACCGGUGGCCCUUGCAAUAGCCUCGGAUGAGCUGUGGGUAGGAGUGAAAGGCUAACCAAACCGGGUGAUAGCUGGUUCUCCCCGAAAUGCCUUUAGGGGCAGUCUCGCAAGUUCAGUUACGGAGGUAGAGCACUGAACGGGCGCUCUCCCACAAUGUGGGGGAAAACCCGAUCAAACUCCGAAUGCCGUAACUUGAGAUUGCGGGAAAGAGGCUGUGAGCUCUAAGGUCCACGGCCGAGAGGGGAAUAACCCAGACCACAGGCUAAGGUCCCUAAGUGUAUGCUAAGUGGGAAAAGAGGUGAGGUUACUCAGACAGCUGGGAUGUUGGCUUAGAAGCAGCAAUCAUUUAAAGAGUGCGUAACAGCUCACCAGUCGAGUGGCCUUGCACUGAAAAUUCACCGGGGCUCAAGCAUACCACCGAAGCCGUGGACUUCUGUCUUUACAGACAGGAGUGGUAGGGGAGCGUUCUGCGGUAGGUCGAAGCCAGACCGCGAGGUCUGGUGGACGAAGCAGAAGUGAUUAUGCCGGGACGAGUAGCGUUAAAACAGGUGAAAAACCUGUUCGCCGAAAACCCAAGGGUUCCUGGGGAAGGUUAAUCCGCCCAGGGUUAGUCGGGACCUAAGCUGAGGCCGAAAGGCGUAGGCGAUGGACAUCCGGUCAACAUUCCGGAACCACCUUGACAUCGUUACGAGCUAUGGGGGGACGCAGGCGGAAGGGCUCAGCCCCGUGCUGGAUCGGGGUCUAAACCAUUGUGAUGGUGCGCAGGAAAAUCCGUGCACAGGAGUCGCAGGGGUGAUGGGGACUCUGCCGUCAGGUAGAGGAACUGAGCCGGACCGACUGCCGAGAAAAGCCUCUAUGCCAGAUGUCAGGGUGACCGUACCGUAAACCGACACUGGUGGGUGAGGAGAAUAUCCAAAGGCGCUCGGGUGAGCUCUCGUUAAGGAACUCGGCAAUCUAGCCCCGUAACUUCGGGAUAAGGGGUGCCACCGCAAGGUGGCCGCAGUGAAGAGGCUCUACCGACUGUUUAACAAAAACACAGGUCUCUGCUAAGCCGUAAGGCGAAGUAUAGGGACUGACACCUGCCCGGUGCCGGAAGGUUAAGGGAGGGGGUCAGCCGCAAGGCGAAGCUCCCGACCGAAGCCCCGGUAAACGGCGGCCGUAACUAUAACGGUCCUAAGGUAGCGAAAUUCCUUGUCGGGUAAGUUCCGACCCGCACGAAUGGUGUAACGAGUGGAGCGCUGUCUUAACGAGAAGCCCGGCGAAACUGUAGUGGCGGUGAAGAUGCCGCCUGCCCGCGAUUGGACAAAAAGACCCCGUGAACCUUUACUACAGCUUGUCAUUGGAUUCUGGCCGGACAUGUGUAGGAUAGGUGGGAGGCUUUGAGGCCCGAACGCCAGUUCGGGCGGAGCCGUCGGUGAAAUACCACCCUUGUUCUGUUGGGGUUCUAACACUGUACCCUGAUCGGGGCGGUGGACAGUGGCAGGCGGGUAGUUUGACUGGGGCGGUCGCCUCCUAAAAGGUAACGGAGGUGCUCAAAGGUCAGCUCAGCACGGACGGCAACCGUGUGGGGAGUGCAAGGGCAUAAGCUGGCCUGACUGCGAGACCGACAGGUCGAGCAGAGACGAAAGUCGGACCUAGUGAUCCUGUGGCUCUGCGUGGAAGGGCCAUAGCUCAACGGAUAAAAGGUACUCCGGGGAUAACAGGCUGAUCGGGCCCGAGAGUUCACAUCGACGGCCCGGUUUGGCACCUCGAUGUCGGCUCAUCGCAUCCUGGGGCUGGACAAGGUCCCAAGGGUUGGUCUGUUCGCCCAUUAAAGCGGUACGUGAGCUGGGUUCAGAACGUCGUGAGACAGUUCGGACUCUAUCCAUCGUGGGCGCAGGAGACUUGAGGGAUGCUGCCCAUAGUACGAGAGGACCUGGGUGGACGCACCUCUGAUGUACGAGCUGUCCUGCCAAGGGCACCGCUCGGUAGUCAAGUGCGGCAGGGAUAACCGCUGAAGGCAUCUAAGCGGGAAGCCCUUCCCAAGAUUAGGUCUCCCGUGUGAGCACCGCAAGGUGCCUCACCCUGAAGGCCCCUGGUAGACUACCAGGUUGAUAGGCCACAGGUGUAAGCCCGGUAACGGGUUCAGCCGAGUGGUCCUAAUCGGCCGUGCGGCUUGAGU
rnacentral:rRNA from 1 species